UCGCGACGCCUCUUUGGGCGUUUCCUCCCUAGACUCAGGCCGCCUUUCGGGGCGGUCUUUUUUUUGCACAAA
rnacentral:sRNA from 1 species